rnacentral:rRNA from 1 species
CUACGGGGCGCAGCAGUGAGGGAUUUUGCGCAAUGGGGGAAACCCUGACGCAGCAACGCCGCGUGAGUGAAGAAGGCCUUUGGGUCGUAAAGCUCUGUCAAUUGGGAAGAAGUUAUCACUGUUUAAUAGAUGGUGAUAUUGACGGUACCAAUGGAGGAAGCGCCGGCUAACUCCGUGCCAGCAGCCGCGGUAACACGGGGGGCGCAAGCGUUAUUCGGAAUUAUUGGGCGUAAAGGGCGCGUAGGCGGUCCUGUCAGUCAGAUGUGAAAGCCCGGGGCUCAACCCCGGACGUGCAUUUGAAACAGCAGGACUUGAGUACGGGAGAGGAAAGCGGAAUUCCUGGUGUAGAGGUGAAAUUCGUAGAUAUCAGGAGGAACACCGAUGGCGAAGGCAGCUUUCUGGACCGAUACUGACGCUGAGGCGCGAAGGCGUGGGUAGCGAACGGGAUUAGAUACCCUCGUAGUC